rnacentral:tRNA from 1 species
GCGUUUUUAGUUUAAUGGAUAAAACAUCAAUCUUCUAAAUUGAAUAUCGGAGGUUCAAUUCCUUCAAAACGCA